AAUUCUCAACUAUUAUUAGCUUUUGCUACUAAUGGCUUGGAUAUGGGGGUUCUUUGCUGGCUUUGUUAAAAGGUCUGCUCCCCUUAAAUUUAUUAGCUGGUGCCCCGCGUGGACUGUCUAUUGGUGUGAUAAUUAUCUACGCUGUGGAUUUCUGCUUUAAUGGGUUGUGCUGCUUAUAACUGUCUUUUUUUAUUAAGACAAUAUAUGACA
rnacentral:misc_RNA from 1 species